rnacentral:misc_RNA from 1 species
GGAGGGAUCAUCAAAGAAUUUCCAAAACCACAAAGUGUUCCUCUCCUUUGGGGGAGUGAAUGCUUUCAAACAAACGAUCACAACUAACUAUGGGAAAUAAUUGGAUUGGAAACUAAAAAAAAAGUGUUUGCCUGAUAAUUUGAUUGGAAAAAAAGAGAAAAAUACAACUUUCAACAACGGAUCUCUUGGCUCUCACAUCGAUGAAGAACAUAGCAAAGUGUGAAAAUUAAUGUGAAUUGCAGAAUUCAGUGAAUCAUUGAGUUUUUGAACGCAUCUUGCACUUCUUGGUAUUCCAGGGAGUAUGCCUGGUUGAGUAAUGUGAAUACAUCUAAUCAAACUUUCUUUUUGAUUGAGGAAAGUUUGGAAUUGAGUGGAUUUUACCUUGAAAACAGCAACAAGCAAUUGUUGUUGUCUCCAAGGUUCACUUGAAAUGGAGGGAAAGUCAACAAGCAAAAAAAACAACAACAGGGAGAAUUUGAUUGUGAUCGCUCAAAGACAAGCAGAUUAUUUUCCCCCACCCCUCAUUGAUUUGGUAGAGGAAAGGGAGAGAGAGAGUCAAGCUUGAUCAUAACAAUGACUUGAGGAAUCGUAAAAGUCUUGUUUAGAGCUUUUCUUGUAUCUGUUCUGUCUGAUCUCUAAUCAAUCCUGGUUGAUUUGUUGCUAGCAGUUGUCAUAUUUCCACAACUAGGGAAUUUUUGAUGGUUUAUUAUAGCCUUCUAAGCUAUAUAGCUAACCAACAAAACCAAAAUAUCAUUCUCAACUCAGGCAAGAUUACCCGCUGAAUUUAAGCAUAUAAAUAAGCGGAGGAAAAGAAACUAACAAGGAUUCCCUCAGUAACUGCGAGUGAAGCGGGAAAAGCUCAAUUUUGAAAUCUACCAAGAGUAACAUUCUUGGUCGAAUUGUAGUUUCGAGAAAGAAUGGCUGAGAGAAGUCGAGUUGGAUACAAGUUCCUUGGAAUGGGACAUCAGAGAGGGUGACAAUCCCGUCUACUGUCCUUCCGUUUGCUUCUCAUAAAGGCCUUCUUUUCAAAGAGUCGAGUUGUUUGGGAUUGCAGCUCAAAAUGGGUGGUAAAUUUCAUCUAAAGCUAAAUAUGGGUGAGAGACCGAUAGCGAACAAGUACCGUGAGGGAAAGAUGAAAAGUACUCUGAAGAGAGAGUCAAAAGUACGUGAAAUUGUUGAAAGGGAAACGCUUGAAACCAGUCAAGGUUUUCUAGAGAUCAGGGAGGUUUCACAUAGUUGAGCAAAUUGGUUGUAAGGGAUUGGCUCUUUCUUGGGUUGACUCGACGCUGAUUUCAUGCUUGAUUAUGCUUUCUGUACGUCUCUAGUAAACAAGUCAGCAUCAGUUUGGCUGCUUGGGAAAAAGAUAACAGGAUUUGGUCGAGCUUUCGAUGGGCCUUGUGUCCUUGAUGGUUUGAGCCUGCUUAUCAUGAUACCAAGUGCUAGACUGAGGACAGCAGUACGAAGCAUUGACUUGGAAUAGGCAAUCUUGUGGUGCUAUCCUUGAUAAACAGCUUGUCUGAUUGUCAAGAAUAGAAUCACCCAAGUCUUGUCAAAUCCAGGCUGGCUUUUGACUUUGGAUGUUGACGAAAUGGUUUUAAACGACCCGUCUUGAAACACGGACCAAGGAGUCUAACAUGGAUGCAAGUAUUUGGGUGAUUGGAAACCCAUAUGCGUAAUGAAAGUGAAUUUAUUUGAGAGGUAGGAAGUCCUUUUCUUCUUCUUCACGGAAGAAAGGGGGACAGCACUAUCGACCAAUCUUGACUAGCUUCGGCUUGAUAGAUUUGAGUAAGAGCAUGCAUGUUGGGACCCGAAAGAUGGUGAACUAUGCCUGAAUAGGGUGAAGUCAGACGAAAGUCUGAUGGAAGCUCGUAGCGAUUCUGACGUGCAAAUCGAUCGUCAAAUUUGGGUAUAGGGGCGAAAGACUAAUCGAACCAUCUAGUAGCUGGUUCCUGC